UACGGUGGGGGCAAGCGUUGUUCGGAAUUACUGGGCGUAAAGGGCUCGUAGGUGGCCAACUAAGUCGGACGUGAAAUCCCUCAGCUUAACUGGGGAACUGCGUCCGAUACUGGAUGGCUUGAGUUUGGGAGAGGGAUGCGGAAUUCCAGGUGUAGCGGUGAAAUGCGUAGAUAUCGGGAGGAACACCGGUGGCGAAGGCGGUUCUCUGGGCCUUACCUGACGCUGAGGAGCGAAAGCGUGGGGAGCGAACAGG
rnacentral:rRNA from 1 species